CAGCAUCACACAUAUUUCCACUCUUGGUUUUAGAUCCAUGUAUUCUGCCUAUGUGAUGCUUCAUCAACUUUCCUGGUAGAAGGCAUGGCUCUGCCUCCCAUCUAAGGAAGAUAAUUUGAUGUUUAUAAACGUGGAAGGAGGGGCAGAGAGAGACGCCAGGCUGGGCAGGGUUUGGCCGAUGCUGGUGGUUUUGAAGCUGGACGAAGAGGACCCUAGAAGCUGGAAGAAGCAAGGAAAAGGAUUCUCCUCCACUGGUUCCACAAAGAGAGCACAGCCAUGCGACUCUUUGACUUCAGCCCAGGGAGACCUGUGUCAGACGUCGAACCCACAGAACUGUAAGCCUUCAGCUGGGCCAGAAUAUGGUGAGUCAGAUGUAACCAUGUAGAAGAGGAUAACACUGGUGAAACAAGUCUGAGUUCUUGAUUGCAAACACUGAAAACCGAGGAGAGUUUAUCAAGCAGGAAGGGAAUUUACAAGAAGGAUAUCUGAAAGCACAAAAAAUUGAAGAAAUGGCUCGAGAAAAUGUAACCAAGGACAAUUAUGCAUCUGGGCGUAUAUUCGAGAUCACACCUCAGGGACACUCAGCAUGAGAAGCCUGAAAAACUGGGAAAUGGUAUGUAUUCCAGUCAGUGGAACAACUGUUGUGCUGUCAAGUGACGAGACUUCCUUAGAGACAAGAGCCCAGAGUCAUAGGUACAGGAGGUAAAAUUUUGCCUGUGAGUCAUUUGGAUGUAAGUGUGAGCAGCAUCACACAUAUUUCCACUCUUGGUUUUAGAUCCAUGUAUUCUGCCUAUGUGAUGCUUCAUCAACUUUCCUGGUAGAAGGCAUGGCUCUGCCUCCCAUCUAAGGAAGAUAAUUUGAUGUUUAUAAACGUGGAAGGAGGGGCAGAGAGAGACGCCAGGCUGGGCAGGGUUUGGCCGAUGCUGGUGGUUUUGAAGCUGGACGAAGAGGACCCUAGAAGCUGGAAGAAGCAAGGAAAAGGAUUCUCCUCCACUGGUUCCACAAAGAGAGCACAGCCAUGCGACUCUUUGACUUCAGCCCAGGGAGACCUGUGUCAGACGUCGAACCCACAGAACUGUAAGCCUUCAGCUGGGCCAGAAUAUGGUGAGUCAGAUGUAACCAUGUAGAAGAGGAUAACACUGGUGAAACAAGACAGGGGAAUCGAGCAGGUUUGUGUGUGUGAGAGCAUUGCUCUCAGGAGGUGAGAUGAGGGCGCACUUUCCAGCGCAGAAGUACAAAAGACAGGUCACACGCAAUGCUGCUGGAGACCCGACAUAGAGGCUUGCUCGCCCACCUCACCAUUUGUACACCAUGGAAUGCCUCUCUGGAAUUUGCGAGGUUGUGCUUUGUGGAGAUUGUGGACAAGUGCGUCUCAUGAGAGACCUCCAGCUUCGUGGCUGAGUUGACCCUUUCACGGUAAGAUGGGAAAAAAGCGUCACUACCAAGAGCGGCGUUCGAGAAAUUACCUGA